UGAUAAUUAAGACUGAGCUAGCAGAUGAGAAGUCCUAGUCAUUGGCCAAGAAGCUUUGUACCUAAUACAAGUUUCUGUGUAUUCAUUUGGGCCUAACUCGGUCAGGUGGCUGGCCUAAAGCGUACACAUGGCGGUGGGGCUCAGCGGCUUUUGGCGGAAAGAUUUAUCAUUUUCCUUUGAUUUUUUUCUGUUAUUUUGUUCUUGCUCUUUGCUGAGUUUUAAAAAAUGUAGUUAUUAUAUAUAACCAAAGAUAACUGUAAAUAUAUUUUACAUGGUCUAUGGCUUUACUGAGUCUUUCUGUGUCUCUCUGCCUCUCUCAACUGAUGUAUGUCUAUUUGUAUGUGUGCACUGAAUAAUUUUUAUGAUAUUUACUUGUCCAACAAUUCUAGGAUUACUAUUGUCCUAAAGUUGGUGUCUAUUGUGUUUUGAGUUGAUUCAUAUUUUUGUAUCAAAAUAUGAGCAUUUUCAUUAACUUGUGAGGUUAUGGAUUUUAUUAAUUUUCCUUUAGCUGGCUUCUUCUGCUAUCCCUUCAGCAAUGGCAGUGGGGCCCCACUUUAUUAGUGCCAAGUGAUGGUAGAAGUCUAAAUUCUCUAGUUUUCAUUCACAGAUACCAAAUGGUACAGAAGCUUAUAACUGCUGGGCAUGGCUGGCAGUUCUGGUUCUCUGGCUGUCCCUGCAGAUACAAUUCUUGUCACCACUCCCCAUCUGGUCUCCAUUGAUACCAUCUGGUUUCCACUGAAUUCUGGGAGGUGAUCAAAGCCCUCCCUUCUCUUUAGUCUUAUAUGUCAUCAGCCCAAAGUGAUGGAAGGAGGACCCUUGGUAAUUCUAGGUAGGAAUGGAGUUCAGGAUCCUCACUUGAUCCAGGAACACCAUGGGAGAUGCUGCUGCUGACAUGACUGCCAAGCCUUGGGAGAAGCCCUGGUCCCUGCAGCAUGAUCUGCUCUAUCCCAGGGGGAAGCACUGAAUACCUUCAUACAGACUAUUGGGGUGGCGUUCCAAUCUUCCCACACAGCUAUUUCAGACCUUGAGAUGAACAGAACAUGGAAUGACCCACCACAGGAUUAACUAUGACCAAGCAACAGUGAUGGCCAUCUUAGAGAACAGCUAACAUAUGACACCACUUCAAAAGCAGAAACAUUGCUUAGGAAACAAGCAGCAGAUGGAGGGUCUUCUGGACUGGAACAUACAGUAUAACUCAGGAUGAAUGCAAACCUAAAAUGAUGCCCCUGUGUUUGUCACCUGACUGCUGAGAUAACAGGCAUGUACCCUCCUCUUGUAUUAUCUGCAGGUGAUUAGAGAAGUUGAAGAAUUGAAAGCAUUUGUAUACAGCGAACUCAAUAAUUUCUUCACUGAGUCGAUUUUUCUGUGAAAAAAAGUAGGGAACAAAAUUCAGUCAUAUUUUUAUUAUGUUCAAUCAAUCAUACACUUUUCUAUGCCUUAAAAAUAAAGACUUUUUUUUCUGUAUCAAA